rnacentral:lncRNA from 1 species
UUCCACUUCCGUAUAUCAAUUGUGAUAGUUGUGUCAUAGUAUCAGCCAUUAGUCAUUGAAUCUAAAUUGAGUUAUCAAAGUGGUGUGAUUUAAAUUCGACGGUGGAAGAGAAACAUAUGCACCUAGAAGUUCAUUCCGAUAUUUCUACUCUCCCAGAGAUGAGCCCCAUCCGGAGAACGUGGCUUUCUCAUGGUUAAUUUCUGUUGAAGGCUACUAGCUUUGGACCUUUUACCUUUGGAAAAUACAUUUUCGAUUUGUGAUGUAACAAGUAAGGAUAUUUUCUUCAACAAAUGAGAUUUUUAGCACAUUAGCAACGUAAAAUUUUACGGUUCUAAAGGAAUACGGUGCAAUCUUUUUCAAGAAUAUUAUACGGAGUUUUCUCUAUUUUAGGUAUGUUAAUGUCCUCCCUUCUUUCUUUUGGCAUGGUCUAAAUUAUACUAAAGAAACGAGCAAAUACGCAGUUUUCUAUAAAAUUACUCUAUUCAUAGAAAUAGUCGGGCUGUCUAUAUUCUUGAUUCCCCAUGAGAGUUAUUAUUAUCUUUUGUUCAUGGGUUUCAGAAUAAUACGCAGUUGGAAAAGUUUAUCCGGAAAGAAUAACGAGAUUAUUAUAUAUUUUUCAUGCAUUUCACUCAUUUAUACAUGAUCAUUGACCCAUCACCAAAUGAUGUUAUAUACGCGUAUAUAUAUAAAUAUAUGUAUAUGAAAUAUGGAAAAAGGUUACGGCGUUAUAUACGCAUCACCACCUGAUCAGCUGGUAUAUGAUAAUGAUGUUGCCCAAAGUGGCUGAAAUAUGAUUCAAAUGACAUUACAUAUUCGGUACAUUAUUCGUACUGACGUCUCUUUUGCUUGGGGACGCGUGUGUUUCAUGCCCGCAGGUCCCGAUAGACAGGUCGAGAGCCCUCCAAGUAGGCUAUC